GCCUUCUCCUGAAACAAACAAAAUCCAUACCUUAUCAUGUAUUGGAAGAGAAAUAUCAUUGUAUUCUUGAGCACAAGCUAUUGUAGUGGUGAGGAUGAAUUCUCUAAAAAAAAACAUAGAAAAUGAGAUUGAAGGAAAAUAUUUGAACCUCUUGCACUGCUAAAUUUAUUUGAUUAGAGUUAACGCUAUUGUGCAAUGCAAAAUACUUUAUGGAAAAGAAUGAUUGGCAGUUAGAGAUAAAAUAUGGAGAAAGAAAAGGUGUUAGGUUUUCUACAAGGAUGCUGUAGUGGAUUAUUUUAGCACAAGAAAAGAUAAGAGUAUCGAAUUGUUGUUUUCAUGUGAAGUCAGACAUGUAGUUAAUUUAGGAUUAGGAUAGUACAUAAAGAACUUUAUUGAAGUAGUUUAGUUUCUUUAGGUGAUGAUUCAUAUGUAGGUAUUUAUUUUAAAUUUCAAAUGUGCCAGAAGCGCAAGGAGACAACAGAUGAUUACGUGGGAGAAAUGGCACAGACGGAUCUCUGCAGUCAAACUGAGAUUUUUUAACCUUAUUGUUUAGCAAGGAUAUGUUUUUCAUGGACUUUGGUUAAGUUUUUCAUGAAUAGGUGAUCACAAUCCUCAUUGGAAAAACUA